rnacentral:lncRNA from 1 species
GGCCCAAACAAUUUUGUCAUCAACAAAUUAAAACAUAUUGACCAAAUUUGUAUUCGUUUUUCGUUGGUCCCUGAUAGAUAUUUAUUUGCAUUAUUCAUUCGUUGGUCCCUGGUGGAUAGUUGUCUUAUUGUUUAUUCGUUGGCCCCUGGUGGAUAGUUGUCUCAUUGUUUAUUCGUUGGUCCCUGGUGGAUAGUUGUUUUCAUUGUUUAUUCGUUGGUCCCUGGUUGAUAGUUGAGUUCAUUGUUUAUUAGUUGGUCCCUGGUGGAUAGUUGUGUCAUUGUUUAUUAGUUGGUCCCUGGUGGAUAGUUGUCUCAUUGUUUAUUCGUUGGUCCCUGUGGAUAGUUGUCUCAUUGUUUAUUCGUUGGUCCCUGGUGGAUAGUUGUCUCAUUGUUUAUUCGUUGGUCCCUGGUGGAUAGUUGUCUCAUUGUUUAUUCGUUGGUCCCUGGUGGAUAGUUGUUCAUUGUUUAUUCGUUGGUCCCUGGUGGAUAGUUGUUUUCAUUGUU